rfam:Mycobacterium sp. E740 contig_136, whole genome shotgun sequence.
GUGUAAGUGUUUAAGGGCGCAUGGUGGAUGCCUUGGCACUGGGAGCCGAUGAAGGACGUGGGAGGCUGCGAUAUGCCUCGGGGAGUUGUCAACCGAGCGUGGAUCCGAGGAUGUCCGAAUGGGGAAACCCGGCACGAGUGAUGUCGUGUCACCCGGCACUGAAUGUAUAGGUGUCGGGGGGGAACGCGGGGAAGUGAAACAUCUCAGUACCCGUAGGAAGAGAAAACAAUAGUGAUUCCGUUAGUAGUGGCGAGCGAACGCGGAGGAUGGCUAAACCGUGUGCAUGUGAUACCCGGCGGGGGUUGUGUGUGCGGUGUUGUGGGGCGUUUCUUCUCUCAUCCGCCGAUGGGAGCGAAAGUGAUAAACCGUGGGGUUAGGUGAAGUGGCCUGGGAUGGUCUGCCGUAGUGGGUGAGAGUCCCGUAACCGAAAACUUGUGCGGCUUUCGUGAAAUGUUUUCCCCGAGUAGCAGCGGGCCCGUGGAAUCUGCUGUGAAUCUGCCGGGACCACCCGGUAAGCCUGAAUACUUCUCAGUGACCGAUAGCGGAUCAGUACCGUGAGGGAAUGGUGAAAAGUACCCCGGGAGGGGAGUGAAAGAGUACCUGAAACCGUGUGCCUACAAUCCGUCAAAGCCCUCGCUUUUGUGUGGGGUGAUGGCGUGCCUUUUGAAGAAUGAGCCUGCGAGUCAGGGACAUGUCGCGAGGUUAACCCGUGUGGGGUAGCCGCAGCGAAAGCGAGUCUGAAUAGGGCGUAUCACGUCAGUAGUGGCGUGUGUAGUGGUGUGUUCUGGACCCGAAGCGGAGUGAUCUACCCAUGGCCAGGGUGAAGCGCGGGUAAGACCGCGUGGAGGCCCGAACCCACUUAGGUUGAAGACUGAGGGGAUGAGCUGUGGGUAGGGGUGAAAGGCCAAUCAAACUCCGUGAUAGCUGGUUCUCCCCGAAAUGCAUUUAGGUGCAGCGUCACAUGUUUCUUGUUGGAGGUAGAGCUACUGGAUGGCCGAUGGGCCCUACUAGGUUACUGACGUCAGCCAAACUCCGAAUGCCGACAAGUCCAAGAGUGUGGCAGUGAGACGGCGGGGGAUAAGCUCCGUGCGUCGAGAGGGAAACAGCCCAGAUCGCCGGCUAAGGCCCCUAAGCGUGUGCUAAGUGGAAAAGGAUGUGCAGUCGCGAAGACAACCAGGAGGUUGGCUUAGAAGCAGCCACCCUUGAAAGAGUGCGUAAUAGCUCACUGGUCAAGUGAUUGUGCGCCGAUAAUGUAGCGGGGCUCAAGCACACCGCCGAAGCCGCGGCAGCCAACGUUGUUGGCUGGGUAGGGGAGCGUCCUGCAUCCGGUGAAGCCGCGAAGUGAUUCAGUGGUGGAGGGUGUGGGAGUGAGAAUGCAGGCAUGAGUAGCGAUAAGGCAAGUGAGAACCUUGCCCGCCGGAAGACCAAGGGUUCCUGGGCCAGGCCAGUCCGCCCAGGGUGAGUCGGGACCUAAGGCGAGGCCGACAGGCGUAGUCGAUGGACAACGGGUUGAUAUUCCCGUACCCGUGUAUGAGCGUCCCUGACGAAUCCAUACUGCUAACCACCCAAACGAGAUGCCACCAAUCCCUUCGGGGUGCGGGGUGUUUCUGCUGCGUGGGACCCGUGUGGGUAGUAGUCAAGCGAUGGGGUGACGCAGGAAGGCAGCCGUACCAGUCAGUGGUAAUACUGGGGCAAGCCCGUAGGACGAGAUAUAGGCAAAUCCGUAUCUCACAUGUCUGAGAGGUGAUGCAUAGCCGAGUGAGGCGAAUUCGGUGAUCCUAUGCUGUCGAGAAAAGCCUCUAGCGAGCGCAUACACGGCCCGUACCCCAAACCAACACAGGUGGUCAGGUAGAGAAUACCGAGGCGUACGAGUGAACUAUGGUUAAGGAACUCGGCAAAAUGCCCCCGUAACUUCGGGAGAAGGGGGACCCCCUACUGUCAAGGCUCUUUGCGGCCGGCAGCGGUGGGGGGUGGCACAAACCAGUGAGAAGCGACUGUUUACUAAAAACACAGGUCCGUGCGAAGUCGCAAGACGAGGUAUACGGACUGACGCCUGCCCGGUGCUGGAAGGUUAAGAGGACCCGUCAACCCCUCUCGAGGGGUGAAGCGGAGAAUUUAAGCCCCAGUAAACGGCGGUGGUAACUAUAACCAUCCUAAGGUAGCGAAAUUCCUUGUCGGGUAAGUUCCGACCUGCACGAAUGGCGUAACGACUUCUCAGCUGUCUCAACCAUAGACUCGGCGAAAUUGCAUUACGAGUAAAGAUGCUCGUUACGCGCGGCAGGACGAA